rnacentral:rRNA from 1 species
AUUGAACGCUGGCGGAAUGCUUUACACAUGCAAGUCGAACGGCAGCACGGGGGCAACCCUGGUGGCGAGUGGCGAACGGGUGAGUAAUACAUCGGAACGUGCCCAGUCGUGGGGGAUAACGUAGCGAAAGCUACGCUAAUACCGCAUACGAUCUCUGGAUGAAAGCGGGGGGACCGCAAGGCCUCGCGCGAUUGGAGCGGCCGAUGGCAGAUUAGGUAGUUGGUGGGGUAAAGGCUCACCAAGCCGACGAUCUGUAGCUGGUCUGAGAGGACGACCAGCCACACUGGGACUGAGACACGGCCCAGACUCCUACGGGAGGCAGCAGUGGGGAAUUUGGACAAUGGGCGAAAGCCUGAUCCAGCCAUUCCGCGUGCAGGAUGAAGGCCCUCGGGUUGUAAACUGCUUUUGUACGGAACGAAACGGUCCUGGUUAAUACCUGGGGCUAAUGACGGUACCGUAAGAAUAAGCACCGGCUAACUACGUGCCAGCAGCCGCGGUAAU